AGUGAACGCUGGCGGUAGGCCUAACACAUGCAAGUCGAACGGCAGCACAGUAAGAGCUUGCUCUUACGGGUGGCGAGUGGCGGACGGGUGAGGAAUACAUCGGAAUCUACUUUUUCGUGGGGGAUAACGUAGGGAAACUUACGCUAAUACCGCAUACGACCUACGGGUGAAAGCAGGGGAUCUUCGGACCUUGCGCGAUUGAAUGAGCCGAUGUCGGAUUAGCUAGUUGGCGGGGUAAAGGCCCACCAAGGCGACGAUCCGUAGCUGGUCUGAGAGGAUGAUCAGCCACACGGGAACUGGGACACGGUCCAGAUUCCUACGGGAGGCAGCAGUGGGGAAUAUUGGACAAUGGGCGCAAGCCGGAUCCAGCCAUACCGCGUGGGUGAAGAAGGCUUUCGGGUUGUAAAGCCCUUUUGUUGGGAAAGAAAAGCAGCAGGUUAAUACCCCGCUGUUCGGACGGUACCCAAAGAAUAAGCACCGGCUAACUUCGU
rnacentral:rRNA from 1 species